GUGGAUUGCUUUACGUGCCACCUUAUUGAC
rnacentral:piRNA from 1 species